UAGGGAAUCUUCGGCAAUGGGGGGAACCCUGACCGAGCAACGCCGCGUGUGUGAAGAAGGUUUUCGGAUCGUAAAGCUCUGUUGUUAAGGAAGAACGAGUGUGAGAAUGGAAAGUUCAUACUGUGACGGUACUUAACCAGAAAGGGACGGCUAACUACGUGCCAGCAGCCGCGGUAAUACGUAGGUCCCGAGCGUUGUCCGGAUUUAUUGGGCGGAAAGCGAGCGCAGGCGGUUAGAUAAGUCUGAAGUUAAAGGCAGUGGCUCAACCAUUGUCGGCUUUGGAAACUGUUUAACUUGAGUGCAGAAGGGGGGAGUGGAAUUCCAUGUGUAGCGGUGAAAUGCGUAGAUAUAUGGAGGAACACCGGUGGCGAAAGCGGCUCUCUGGUCUGUAACUGACGCUGAGGUUCGAAAGCGUGGGUAGCAAACAGG
rnacentral:rRNA from 1 species